GAGUUUGAUCGUGGCUCAGAUUGAACGCUGGCGGCAUGCCUUACACAUGCAAGUCGAACGGCAGCACGGGAGCUUGCUCCUGGUGGCGAGUGGCGAACGGGUGAGUAAUGCAUCGGAACGUAUCCUGGAGUGGGGGAUAACGUAGCGAAAGUUACGCUAAUACCGCAUAUUCUGUGAGCAGGAAAGCGGGGGACCUUCGGGCCUUGCGCUCUUGGAGCGGCCGAUGUCGGAUUAGCUAGUUGGUGAGGUAAAGGCUCACCAAGGCGACGAUCCGUAGCAGGUCUGAGAGGAUGAUCUGCCACACUGGAACUGAGACACGGUCCAGACUCCUACGGGAGGCAGCAGUGGGUAUUUGGACAAGUGGGGGCAACCCGUGAUCCAGCCAUGCCGCGUGAGUGAAGAAGGCC
rnacentral:rRNA from 1 species